rnacentral:rRNA from 1 species
GAUGAACGCUGGCGGCGUGCCUAAUACAUGCAAGUCGAGCGAAUGGAUUAAGAGCUUGCUCUUAUGAAGUUAGCGGCGGACGGGUGAGUAACACGUGGGUAACCUGCCCAUAAGACUGGGAUAACUCCGGGAAACCGGGGCUAACACCGGAUAACAUUUUGAACCGCAUGGUUCGAAAUUGAAAGGCGGCUUCGGCUGUCACUUAUGGAUGGACCCGCGUCGCAUUAGCUAGUUGGUGAGGUAACGGCUCACCAAGGCAACGAUGCGUAGCCGACCUGGGAGGGUGAUCGGCAACACUGGGACGGGGACACGGCCCAGCCUCCUACGGGAGGCAGCAGUAGGGAAUCUUCCGAAAUGGACGAAAGUCUGACGGAGCAACGCCGCGUGAGUGAUGAAGGCUUUCGGGUCGUAAAACUCUGUUGUUAGGGAAGAACAAGUGCUAGUUGAAUAAGCUGGCACCUUGACGGUACCUAACCAGAAGGCCACGGCUAACUACGUGCCAGCCGCCGCAGUAA